rnacentral:tRNA from 1 species
UUGGUUAAAGCCAAAAAGAGGCAUAUCACUGUUAAUGAUUGAAAUGAAGUAUUACUUCUAACCAAG